rnacentral:rRNA from 1 species
CAAACUGGAGAUGGCGACCGGCGCACGGGUGAGUAACACGUAUCCAACCUGCCGAUAACUCGGGGAUAGCCUUUCGAAAGAAAGAUUAAUACCCGAUGGCAUAAUAGAACCGCAUGGUUUGAUUAUUAAAGAAUUUCGGUUAUCGAUGGGGAUGCGUUCCAUUAGGCAGUUGGUGGGGUAACGGCCCACCAAACCUUCGAUGGAUAGGGGUUCUGAGGGGAAGGUCCCCCACAUUGGAACUGAGACACGGUCCAA